UGCACCCGGGAACCGGAGGCGAUCUUGCAAUUCCUGGGGCCAGGCCCUCGGUGCGCCAAGGCUCCGCGCCCGAGGGGAGACGCGUGACCGUGACUGCCCUCUGACAUCUUCCCCCAGCUGCUUCGCUCGAGAUGGAAAAUUGACAUGGACCAACUUUGCAACAAUGUGUCAGUGUGACUGAGCCGAGCAAAUACUGCGGAUUCUGCAGACCAGCUGAGCGCUGCCUCGUGGCCCAGGGCCCCGAGGAUGCAGGGUGUUGAAGAAGCCUUGCUUCCUCCUCCCAGAGCCGCAAAACUGAGAGCAGGGCCAAAGAGGACGCUUCUGGGACCCCGCCACCGGUGCUGGGGUCCCCGCGCUGGCUGUCACCUGGCCUUGGGUGUGCAAGGUGGAUUUGAAGCUCCCAGCCCUCCGGCACCCGCCCAGCGGAAGCUGCAGAGGCCGAAGAGGGGCUGAGACAGACCAGUUCCCCCACUGGACGGAGACAGCUUUGGCUGUCUCUGGAGCCACGUUUCCUCUGAGCCUUCGGAAACCAGCAGAGAAGUCAGCUCACCUGACAAGCUUUUGGAGGUGCACUCAGCAUGUCUGAGCGAGGUUGUGUUUUCCUGCUUUUAUGUUGCCACGCCUGGUAAUCUGCGAUGGGAACCAGACAUCGUGGAUGGCACCGAGUCGAACUGAUUUGGAAUGUGCGAACUGGUUUGGAAAAGGAGCCUAAGAAAACCAUGUGUCAUAUGCAUCUCUGUAUUAUUUGAAGAUCCUCAUUUUCUCUACAGAAGACUGGAACACAAAUGGUCUUACCUUACACUGUCUGGGACUUUUUCUGUGUGGCCUUCACCUGCGUCUUAAGGGUCGCAUUCUAGAACGAUGCCACGUCUUACCCUAGCAUCCCAGGCCUCCUGCCCUGUGAUCGUAUUCUGGCCAUCGGAAAUCUGGUCUCUGAUCCUGUAGGCAGCUUGGCUGACAUACUAGCCGUCAACCACAGCCUGCAUUCGCCUGCCUACCUCCCCAGGACUCCAUCUUGCCGAGCCCUGGACGUAUCAGGCCACGGCUCGGUCUACAGCCCGCUUCACACUGUGAUAGACUCUCUGAGAUGCCUCCGCGAUCCCGGUCUCCUCGUGUCCACGUCUGUGCUCAUGUCCUUAAGUACGGAUGUGACCUGUGAUUUGCUUCUAACCAAUGGAGUAUGGCAAAGGUGAUGGGAUGUCACCUCACAAUCGUAUCGCAGUAAGCCUCUGUCUUAUUAACAGGUUUGCAUUCUCUGUCUCUCCCUCGCUGGCUCCGAGGAAGCACGGGCUGUAUGAGGGAAACCCCCAUCUGGGAAGAAACUGCAGGCAGCCUCUGCCAGGGAAUGUAAACUUUCCCUUCUGCGGCUGUAAGGAAUUGGAUUUUGCUAAUAAUCUGUGCUGGAAGUGGCUACUUCCCCAGUCAUGCUUUUGAUGAGACCUCAGAUUCGGUCAGCUUCUAGACUGCUGUCAGGUGAGACCCGGGAGCAGAGAACCCACCUAGGCCAUGCCUCAGCUUCUGAUUCACAGAUGCCGGGUAAAAAUAAAUAUGCUUUGCUUUAAGCCCAUAGGGCAAUUUUGAAAAGCGCUAACGUUUGGAUCAUCGGAGCCUCGGAAGUACAGGAGAAAUAGCACGGAGUGGAAAACAAAAUAUUUGAACCAAUAUUGGCUGAAAACAUCUCAAAUACAGGAAAGGCAUGAAUGUACAGGUGCAAGGUCAUCGGAAGACUGCCAACAGGAUAAAACCGAAAAAAGAAAUCCAUGCCCAGACACAGGCUGGUCUGGAAGAUCUCUUGCAGAAAGAGAAGAACAAAAAUAAACAAGCAAGCAAAAGAAACAGAUAAACAAGCCAUCACAACACAAAGCCAUUGGGAUAGAGAGAGGUGUAGACCAGACCAGGGGAGUGAUAAUGAGAGUUGAUGUUUAGAGGAAUGUGUGUGUGAGAGACAGAGACAGAGACAGAGACAGAGAGACAGAGCCCUAGCCCAGAAGGAAGAACCACACAGCCUGUCUCCUCCUUAGGAUCCCUUCAUCUUUCUUGUAGCCUAGAAGGCACAGAGUCCCUACUGAGCCUGGCCUCUGGUGAUGCAGGUCAAAGGUCAAGGGGACUUGUGGCUUUU